UACGUAGGGUGCGAGCGUUGUCCGGAAUUAUUGGGCGUAAAGAGCUCGUAGGCGGCUUGUCGCGUCGACUGUGAAAACCCGAGGCUCAACUUCGGGCUUGCAAUCGAUACGGGCAGGCUAGAGUUCGGUAGGGGAGACUGGAAUUCCUGGUGUAGCGGUGAAAUGCGCAGAUAUCAGGAGGAACACCGAUGGCGAAGGCAGGUCUCUGGGCCGAUACUGACGCUGAGGAGCGAAAGCGUGGGGAGCGAACAGG
rnacentral:rRNA from 1 species